rnacentral:lncRNA from 1 species
UUUUGUAGGUUGUUCUUGAUCUUCUUCUUCGUGAGAAGAUGCGUAGUUAGUUCAAUUUAACAUGAAAACUUACAUAUUCCCAACAAUUCAUUUUCUGGAGAAGCUGUUCUUGAAGAGGGCAUGUAAACUCAGACUUCAAAGCCCCCCAAAAUUGGACCAAAAUGCUCAAACAAUGGCUACCUAAUGCCAACACAUGCUGUCAUAUUCAGAAAAGAGGGUUUUGUUUGGGUUUGUUUAGGUUGUAGAAGGGAUUCGAAGAGAGACGAAAUUGGGGUUUGGAUUUGGGUAGAGAAGAAAACAUAGAGGAAGAGGAAAAGCUGGGUUUUGAGGGCAAAGCUGUGGGUUUUGUAGGUUGUUCUUGAUCUUUUUCUUCGUGAGAAGAUGCGUAAGAGAGAGAGAGAGAGAGAGAGAGAGAGAGAGAGAGCUAAAUUUCAGAGAAAAGUGAUAUGUGUGCAAUAAGUGGACAAUAAAUAUAAAUUUAUAGGUGAUAGUUGGAAAAAAUUGGAGAGAGGUGGUAUUUUCAGAAAAAAUUAUAAAACGGGUGGCAUUUAGAGCUAUUUCC